AUGACCUCCUCCCCAUUCUCCAUGGUGAACCCAAUCUGGUGUGGGUCUCAUGUAGGUGAUCACAGCUACUGAGAGCUCAAGAGAGCAAAGGCCAGUAAGCCUUCACUUCUGCCAAGAUGAUGACUAUGGUAAUUUGGGUUUUGUGUACAUUGUAAUAUAAGGAGGUGCUUCCAUCCUGUGGAUUCCUGCUCAUCUCUGUUUCCUGCUCAUUCCUGCUCUCCUCUGCAUACAGAGGAGUAUCCCAGCUGGCAAAGUCUACAUGUGUCUACAUUCAUGUAUCUGCUUCCUGGAAGACACACCCACCUCCACUCCCAGUCAUCAGUCAUGAUGGGGUUUACAACCAAGUUUAUGAAAGAGAAGUGGAAGCUGGAAACCAGGAUACUGAGAACAGCAGAGAAAUCAGCAGCAGGAAAAACAGGGUGAAUCAACUCAUCUGCAUAAAGGAAGGCCAGAUGAGCAAAAGACAGGCACCUUACAAUGCUAGAAGGAACAUAUUAAGUUGGCUACAGCUAUGAUUGAAGCACCCCUAAAAUGAAUGUGCCUGUCCCGUGGCUGCAAUAAUUGGGAGGCAGCAAAGAGCUGUUAAGUCAUGACAAGAUUCCCUGGUUGUUUUCUGAAAACCUGUCCACCAACUCUUCUUCAGGGCAGUUGCAGGCACAGUCCCUGGAAACCGACACCCUAUGGACAGAGGUAUCAAAAUAUGUCAUUCAUGAAGACACAAGCUCUCCAGAGUCUUCACCUUUUAAAGUGCUAAAAAAGAAGUUCUGGACCCAAAACCAUCCAAGUUUUCAUCCAAUUCAGCUUCAAAGUAAAGAAUGAGGUCCUCAGUGUACCAGGAUGGAACCCAGAGCCUUGAAGAUGAUUGGCAAAUGCUCUAUCCAUGAGCUGUACCUGCAGCCCCACAUGUCAAGAUACAGAAUACCUUUGGGGAGUCCUAGAGGGUUUCUGCCCAGCCUAUCAGCCAAGCUCUGAGACUUCUUCCUUGACCAAAAGUUUGCAGAAGGCUGAGUCGCGUGUAUACACUGAGG
rnacentral:lncRNA from 1 species